GAUGAACGCUAGCGGCAGGCCUAAUACAUGCAAGUCGAACGGUAAGGCCCUUUCGGGGGUACACGAGUGGCGGACGGGUGCGUAACGCGUAUGCAACAUACCUUCAAGCGGGGGAUAUGCCAGGGAAACUUGGUGCAACACCCCAUAGCAUUUCGGGACCGCAUGGUCUUGGGAUUAAAUAUUUAUAGCUUGGAGAUUGGCAUGCGUGACAUUAGCUAGUUGGCGGGGUAACGGCCCACCAAGGCGACGAUGUCUAGCUGGUCUGAGAGGAUGAUCAGCCACACUGGGACUGAGACACGGCCCAGACUCCUACGGGAGGCAGCAGUAGGGAAUAUUGGACAAUGGGGGGAACCCUGAUCCAGCCAUGCCGCGUGAGGGAAGAAGGUCCUCUGGAUUGUAAACCUCUUUUGGUCGGGGGACGAAACCUGCACUAUACGUGCAGCUGAGGGUACCGCAGAAUAAGCACCGGCUAAACUCCGUGCCAGCAGCCGCGGUAAU
rnacentral:rRNA from 1 species